CCCCUAGCCUGGGAACCUCCAUAUGCCAUGGGAGCGGCCCUAAAAAUUUGAUUCAAAAUGGAAUCACUUAAAAUUCUUGUUUUACUGAAUGAUAAUGAGCAGUCGGUAAAUAUUAAGCUUUGUGCUAGUGUAAUGCAGAACCAGCCACGGUAGGGCUCUAGACCCUUAGGAGAUUCCUUUAAUUUUCUGAAUCAGCGUUGUACAUCCUAUGUGCCAGCAUUUUCCUUUGGCCCUCAUAAAAACUAAUCCUGCUUUGAUUUUUACUCCCGUUGUCUCCAUUGCACAUGACCUGAUUCUCUUAGGGAAAUUCUUAGUUUUUUUUCUUUUCUUUUUCUUUUUAGGGCCAAACCUGUGGCAUAUGGAAGUUGCCAAGCUAUAGGUUGAAUUGGAGCUGCAGCUGCUGGCAUACACUACAGCCACAGCAAUGCCAGAUCGGAGCCUCGUCUGUGACCUACACUGCAGCUCAUGGCAACCCCAGAUCCUUAACCCACUGAGCUGGGCCAGGAAUUGAACCCACAUCCUCAUGGAUACUAGUCAGAUUCAUUACCGAUGAACGACAAAGGGAACUGCAGUAAGAUUCUUUCUGUGGGUAUAGUGCCCAGAAGCUCAAACUAAUAACAAAAAUAGAAUAUAGAUAUAAAAUGUGCUUAAUAGAUCCUAGUUAAAGAAUCUAUCAGGCCGCAUACCUAGCCACAGAGCUGAUUUUAAUGGAAAUGUUAAUGAAAUUGGUAAUCACCAGAAUGAUUCAACUGUGUGUUACUAAAGUUCUUCGCAGAAGACAGGUCACCCCUUCUGUUCAUAUUUCAGCUUCACUGAGCUGUACAGGAAAGACUGAGAUGGAAAACUUAAGAAUCUGCAGUGCUAUCCACUUCCGAAGCCUUACUUAGCCUGCUGGUUAAUAAAAUUAUUUGUUAUAGAAGAGAAAGUAGGGAAUUCUCUUGUGGCACAGUGGGUUAAGGAUCUGGCAUUGUCAUUGCAGCAGCUUGGGUUGCUCGUGUGCCAUGGGUUCAAUCCCUGGCCAGGAACUUCCGAAUACCAUGGGCAUGCCCCCCCCACUCCAUAGAUCUAGUAUAGUAAAGUUGAAAAUUUUUGUCUGCCACUUCCUUUGCCUGCAGUGAAUGAACCCAUUUCUGCAAAUCCUUUCUAGUGAAUGCUGAAUUUUGUUUGUUUGUUGGCC
rnacentral:lncRNA from 1 species